UACGGAGGGUCCGAGCGUUAUCCGGAAUCAUUGGGUUUAAAGGGUGCGCAGGCGGUAAAGUAAGUCAGUGGUGAAAUCCUGCAGCUCAACUGCAGAACUGCCAUUGAUACUGCUAUACUUGAAUAUAGUCGAAGUGGGCGGAAUGUGACAUGUAGCGGUGAAAUGCUUAGAUAUGUCACAGAACACCGAUAGCGAAGGCAGCUCACUAGACUAAAAUUGACGCUCAUGCACGAAAGCGUGGGGAGCGAACAGG
rnacentral:rRNA from 1 species